rnacentral:lncRNA from 1 species
UUUUCUGGUGCCUUUGAGGGCAAAAUAUGGGAUGUGGAAGAAGAGUUUCAGAAACUCAAGUUCUUGAGCUUAUACAAACUGAACAUUCCUCAAUGGAAAGCCUCUUCUGAUGAUUUCCCCAAGAUUGAAAGACUCAUCUUACAAAAUUGAAAAGACCUUGAAAAACUUCCGGAGGAUUUUGUGAACAUAUACACAUUGGAGAUGAUUGAAGUGCAUUGGUGAGGAGAAUCUGCAGAAAAGUCAGCAAUUAAGAUUGGGGAAGAAAAUAGGGAAAUCAAAGUCCUUGUUAAGAGUUUACACUUGAGAUGAUGGGCAUGAUUUGGAUCAAGUUACUUUAUCCUUCCUCUGAUCAUUUGUAAGUCUAUUUAAUCAAAUUUCAUCAGCUUAUCCAUUUCUUCAAUUCAUUUCUAAGAAGAUAUGCUCAAAUAUAUAUUUUGUAUCUAAAUCUACUAAUGGACAUAUCACACAUGACUUGCUCAAAGAUGUUAGGAACUUCUAACUGCUGGACAAUGAACUGGAAAAUUUUGUUAAUUCUCGACAAACAUUUGCUUUUUUUAACUUUUCCUUCAUCUCUAAAUUGCUGGUGAUUAGUUUCUUGAUGAUGUUACAUCUCAGUUCGUUAAAUUCGCAUCGCUCAAUUUGGCACUUCAUAUUUUCCAGUCUUCUAUAGGACCUACUAAUUUGCAUCAUCAGAGCAAACUAAUCUAAGUUAGAAGCCUCUUCUCCAUUAAACCUUGGAAUGGUCACAUUCUCUUUACUAGAUCUGUAUCCAUCAUAACAAUCAUCAUCGUUUAACUGCGGCAAUUCACUACUCAAGCAAUGCAGAAGCUUGAUUGGCUGCAUUUUUUUUAGGCAGUAAGCUCCACAAUAGACGCUGUUCUGAGUAACAAAGCCUGCAGCUUAAGAACACUUGUUCAUUUUGUUUCGAAGAGCCGAUUCAAGUAAAAGAUGACAAUUUCCCCAAAGAUUUUAAUGGCCAUGACACGACAUCAGAUAUGACUACUUUGUAUGCAACUCCAGAAUUUUUUCUUUCUCAAAGAAAUUAUACAUAAAUUUAACUUUUUUGAAACAUGAAUAACAAUUGUCAAACUGCUGAAUUAUAAUCAUCCACCCACAAAAUUAUCACUAAAUUGUAACACAAAUUCAUGGAAAGCAAUCACUAUUAAGCUUUCAAAGUCUAAAACAUGAAGAUGAGCCAUCCAAAAUUAAACAUUUGAUAUCCUCAAUUCAUCCAAGCCGCUCUUCCCACAAAUUCUUCAAUUUUAAACAAAAAUUUGAAUUUUAUUAAAAAAUAUUACCUCUGUUAGAAGUUAAAGGAUCAUCCUACAAUCUUCACUUGCUACUGAGCCUUGAUUCUCCAAGAUUCCACCAUACAACGAAGAACGAAGAAGGGAUAGUUUUCAUGUGGCGAACGACGACGUUGAGUGCGAUCUCCUCCUUUAGGAUAUCUAACAACCCCGCCCCGACCAAGCCCCAUCCCCCGGGUCCCAACAAAAAAAAAAAGGCAAACAAAUUCGUUGGUUUCUGAUGUCAGUAUAGAAU